rnacentral:rRNA from 1 species
UGCAAGUCGAGCGAGAAAGUAUCUUCGGAUAUGAGUAGAGCGGCGGACGGGUGAGUAACGCGUAGGAAUCUACCUAGUAGAAGGGGAUAGCCCGGGGAAACUCGGAUUAAUACCGUAUACCUCCUAAGGGAGAAAGAGGGCCUCUCUUGAAGCUCUCGCUACUAGAUGAGCCUGCGUAAGAUUAGCUUGUUGGUAAGGUAAUGGCUUACCAAGGCUACGAUCUUUAGCUGGUCUGAGAGGACGAUCAGCCACAUUGGGACUGAGACACGGCCCAGACUCCUACGGGAGGCAGCAGUGGGGAAUAUUGGACAAUGGGCGCAAGCCUGAUCCAGCCAUACCGCGUGUGUGAAGAAGGCCUUCGGGUUGUAAAGCACUUUAAGCAGGGAGAAAAAGCAAUAAGUUAAUACCUUAUUGCCGUGAUGUUACCUGCAGAAUAAGCACCGG